rnacentral:rRNA from 1 species
GAUGAACGCUGGCGGCGUGCCUAAUACAUGCAAGUCGAGCGAACAGACGAGGAGCUUGCUCCUCUGACGUUAGCGGCGGACGGGUGAGUAACACGUGGAUAACCUACCUAUAAGACUGGGAUAACUUCGGGAAACCGGUGCUAAUACCGGAUAAUAUAUUGAACCGCAUGGUUCAAUAGUGAAAGACGGUUUUGCUGUCACUUAUAGAUGGAUCCGCGCCGAAUUAGCUAGUUGGUAAGGUAACGGCCAACCAAGGCAACGUGCCGUAGCCACCCGGAGAGGGCGACCGGCAACACGGGAACGGGAAAACGGCCAAGACUCCUAGGGGAGGCAGCAGUGGGGAAUUUUGGACAAUGGGCGAAAGCUUGACCCAGAAAGGCCGCGUGGGUGAAGAAGGUCUUCGGGUGGUAAACCACUUUUGUAGGGAAAGAAAAAGUUGGGAGUAAAACGCUCAGGGGAUGACGGUACCGAAACAAAAAGCACCGGCUAACUACGUG